GUCAUAGUGGUGUAGUUGUCUGAGCACUGGACUGCGACUUUGGAGACCAGGGUUCAAAUCCCUGCUCGGUCA